rnacentral:rRNA from 1 species
CAUAUCAAUAAGCGGAGGAAAAGAAACUAACAAGGAUUCCCUUAGUAACGGCGAGUGAAGCGGGAAUAGCUCAAAUUUGAAAGCUGGCAGCAAUGUCCGCGUUGUAAUCUAGAGAAGUGUUUUCCGUGCUGGACCAUAGAUAUGUUCCUUGGAAUAGGAUGUCAUAGAGGGUGAGAACCCCGUACAUGCUAUGGACGCCCAGUGCUUUGUGAUACACUUUCGAAGAGUCGAGUUGUUUGGGAAUGCAGCUCAAAAUGGGUGGUAAAUUCCAUCUAAAGCUAAAUAUUGGGGAGAGACCGAUAGCAAACAAGUACCGUGAGGGAAAGAUGAAAAGCACUUUGGAAAGAGAGUUAAACAGUACGUGAAAUUGUCAAAAGGGAAGCGCUUCAAGUCAGAUAUGGCUUUGAAUGUUCAGCCUUUAGGUGUAUUCAUUUUUUGUCAGGCCAGCAUCGAUUUUGAACGUCGGAUAAGGGUAGAAAGAACGUAGCAUACUCUCGGGUAUGUGUUAUAGCUUUUUACUGGAUACGACGAUCGGGAUCGAGGUUCGCAGCACACCCUUUUUGGGCAGGUCUUCGGACACUUUUUGUGCUUAGGAUGCUGGCGUAAUGGCUUUGA